AAUACGUAGGUGGCAAGCGUUAUCCGGAAUUAUUGGGCGUAAAGCGCGCGUAGGCGGUUUCUUAAGUCUGAUGUGAAAGCCCACGGCUCAACCGUGGAGGGUCAUUGGAAACUGGGAAACUUGAGUGCAGAAGAGGAGAGUGGAAUUCCAUGUGUAGCGGUGAAAUGCGCAGAGAUAUGGAGGAACACCAGUGGCGAAGGCGGCUCUCUGGUCUGUAACUGACGCUGAUGUGCGAAAGCGUGGGGAUCAAACAGGAUUAGAUACCCUGGUAGUCCACGCCGUAAACGAUGAGUGCUAAGUGUUAGGGGGUUUCCGCCCCUUAGUGCUGCAGCUAAC
rnacentral:rRNA from 2 species